rnacentral:rRNA from 1 species
GACAGAGGUGCCGAGCGUUAGGCGGAAUCACUGGGCUUAAAGCGUGUGUAGGCGGACCGUUAAGUGCCUUGUGAAUCCCCGGCUCAACCGGGGACGGCUGGCAUACUGGCGGUCUUGAGUCACCCAGGGGCUGCCGGAACAAAUGGUGGAGCGGUGAAAUGCGUAGAUAUCAUUGGAACGCCAAUGGCGAAAGCAGGCGGCCUGGGGGUGAUCUGACGCUGAGACACGAAAGCCAGGGAGCGAACGGG